rnacentral:rRNA from 1 species
UGAGGAAUAUUGGGCAAUGCCCGCAAGGGUGACCCAGCAACGCCGCGUGGAGGAUGAAUGUCGUAAGAUUGUAAACUCCUGUUAGAGGGGAAGAAUAGUACCGGUUGGACCGGUAUAUGACUGUACCCUCAGAGAAAGCCCCGGCUAACUACGUGCCAGCAGCCGCGGUAAUACGUAGGGGGCAAGCGUUGUCCGGAUUUACUGGGUGUAAAGGGCGCGCAGGCGGGAUAAAAAGUCAGUGGUGAAAUCCUACAGCUUAACUGUAGAACUGCCUUUGAUACUUUUAUUCUUGAGUUCGGGAGAGAGAGACGGAAUUCCAGGUGUAGUGGUGAACUACGUAGAUAUCUGGAAGAACACCAGUUGCGAAGGCGGUCUCUUGGUCCGACACUGACGCUGAGGCGCGAAAGCGUGGGGAGCAAACA